AAUAGCCCAGCACUGAAUCCCGCCGUUGUCACGGCGGCGGGAGAUGUGGUGUUCGGGAGGUUCCGUUUUCUCGUCGUCGUCUCCUCCUGUCCAAGUUCGUCUUGAACGGGGCCGUUUUCCCGUAGAGGGUGCCAGGCCCGUAGCGACGGAGGACGGCGGCGAGAGGGACUCUCCUCAGAGUCGGGUUGCUUGAGAGUGCAGCCCUAAGUGGGUGGUAAACUCCAUCUAAGGCUAAAUAUUACCGCGAGACCGAUAGCGAACAAGUACCGUA
rnacentral:rRNA from 1 species